ACACUCCUACGGGAGGCAGCAGUGGGGAAUUUUGGACAAUGGGCGAAAGCCUGAUCCAGCAAUGCCGCGUGAGUGAAGAAGGCCUUCGGGUUGUAAAGCUCUUUUGUCAGGGAAGAAACGGUGAGAGCUAAUAUCUUUUGCUAAUGACGGUACCUGAAGAAUAAGCACCGGCUAACUACGUGCCAGCAGCCGCGGUAAUACGUAGGGUGCAAGCGUUAAUCGGAAUUACUGGGCGUAAAGCGUGCGCAGGCGGUUUUGUAAGUCUGAUGUGAAAUCCCCGGGCUCAACCUGGGAAUUGCAUUGGAGACUGCAAGGCUAGAAUCUGGCAGAGGGGGGUAGAAUUCCACGUGUAGCAGUGAAAUGCGUAGAUAUGUGGAGGAACACCGAUGGCGAAGGCAGCCCCCUGGGUCAAGAUUGACGCUCAUGCACGAAAGCGUGGGGAGCAAACAGGAUUAGAAACCCUAGUAGUCCC
rnacentral:rRNA from 1 species